rnacentral:lncRNA from 1 species
GGAUGGGUCACACGUAUUGCCUAUGAUGAUGACCGUGUGAUGCUUGGAUAUCUUGCCGGAGUGCAGUAUCCGGGAUAUUUCACGUGGUAUGUGAUAUCCAUUAUGUGUUGUUUGGUCAUCUAACAGUGUGAGUAUAUCGUGAAGUUCGGGUUACUCUCCUCCACUGUUUUUACUUGAUAAAUUGAGCAUGCUCGUGAUAUUUCAAAUUGAUUUAAGCUCGUGGUUUAAGGAAUUGAUUCAAAUAUG